rnacentral:lncRNA from 1 species
CCCAGCAACAUUUCUAGACCGGUGACAGCCCCCCUAGGGCCGCCGUGAGUGAGCGGUGCCGCCCGAAAGAACCGACUGCCCCGAGCUUCCCUUCGCCGGAACUUCCUCCUCCGGCCACCAAUCCGGGCAAGCUUGGUACGGUUUUGUAGCCCUCCUCCCGUGCAACAACCCCUCCAAGCAGCUCCCUCCCUCUUGAGCUAGGUAAGGAGAAAUGUGGAGUUGAAAUUUCUAGGCUUUUAAGUUAUUUUCGUUCGAUUAGCCUAGUUAGGCUUGGAAUUGGGUGAUGUGUUGGUCAUGAAAGUUGUAGAGGAGAUUGAGAGGAAGAUUCUGUUAAAAUUUGGUAGCGUUUGCAGGUCGCCGGAAAACGGCUGCCGGCCGCCGCCGGUUAGGAAAUUUUUAUGGUUUUAAAUGUGGAAUAUUAAGAGGAUAUUAUUGAAGUGAAUUUUGGAAUUUUUGGAUGAGAUUUGGAUAGGUUUGUGAAUUUCCGAAGUGUGGUAUUUUUGGCGGGUAAUUAAUGUAGAAUCCGGCCGUUGGAUUUAAGUCGUAUUUUGGGGAGGUUGUAUUUACGACUAUUGAGUAUGAUAUUUAAGUUCGGAUCGUUCCGAUGUAAGAAUAUCGAAGUUAGGCAAUGAUGAGCGUAAUUAUGGCUCUCGGGUAAUUUUGCCUAUUUUGAUUAAAUAUUGGAUUAUUGGUUGGGAAAUUAAUAUUUUAUUUGGAACAGGACGUGAGGAGGCUCGAGCAGACGAGACCCCAGAUCGACAGCAGGCUUAGGCCUAAUUUGUGAGUGGACUUUUGUUUUAAAUAAAUGCAUUCUAAGUUCACGAUUGAAUAAUUAAUAUCGUGGAGUAUUUUACCGUCAAUUAAUUUUGACGCUUUUAUUUCUCUGAGAGAGAGUUACCGAAAAUGGGAUUUUCGGUGAAUAUAAAUAUGUAUAUAUGAGAGAGUAUGUAAUAAAAAAAUGACUAGCUAGCCAUAUGUGUCUGUCCACCUUAAUGG